CAGCAGCCGCGGUAAUACGAAGGGUGCAAGCGUUAAUCGGAAUUACUGGGCGUAAAGCGUGCGUAGGCGGUGAGUUAAGUCUGCUGUGAAAUCCCCGGGCUCAACCUGGGAAUGGCAGUGGAUACUGGCUCGCUAGAGUGUGUCAGAGGAUGGUGGAAUUCCCGGUGUAGCGGUGAAAUGCGUAGAGAUCGGGAGGAACAUCAGUGGCGAAGGCGGCCAUCUGGGACAACACUGACGCUGGGGCACGAAAGCGUGGGGAGCAAACAGGAUUAGAUACCCCAGUAGUCCCUGUCUCUUAUAC
rnacentral:rRNA from 1 species